rnacentral:rRNA from 1 species
GAUGAACGCUGGCGGCGUGCCUAAUACAUGCAAGUCGAGCGAACGGACGAGAAGCUUGCUUCUCUGAUGUUAGCGGCGGACGGGUGAGUAACACGUGGAUAACCUACCUAUAAGACUGGGAUAACUUCGGGAAACCGGAGCUAAUACCGGAUAAUAUUUUGAACCGCAUGGUUCAAAAGUGAAAGACGGUCUUGCUGUCACUUAUAGAUGGAUCCGCGCUGCAUUAGCUAGUUGGUAAGGUAACGGCUUACCAAGGCAACGAUGCAUAGCCGACCUGAGAGGGUGAUCGGCCACACUGGAACUGAGACACGGUCCAGACUCCUACGGGAGGCAGCAGUAGGGAAUCUUCCGCAAUGGGCGAAAGCCUGACGGAGCAACGCCGCGUGAGUGAUGAAGGUCUUCGGAUCGUAAAACUCUGUUAUUAGGGAAGAACAUAUGUGUAAGUAACUGUGCACAUCUUGACGGUACCUAAUCAGAAAGCCACGGCUAACUACGUGCCAGCAGCCGCGGUAAUACGUAGGUGGCAAGCGUUAUCCGGAAUUAUUGGGCGUAAAGCGCGCGUANGCGGUUUUUUAGUCUGAUGUGAAAGCCCACGGCUCAACCGUGGAGGGUCAUUGGAAACUGGAAAACUUGAGUGCAGAAGAGGAAAGUGGAAUUCCAUGUGUAGCGGUGAAAUGCGCAGAGAUAUGGAGGAACACCAGUGGCGAAGGCGACUUUCUGGUCUGUAACUGACGCUGAUGUGCGAAAGCGUGGGGAUCAAACAGGAUUAGAUACCCUGGUAGUCCACGCCGUAAACGAUGAGUGCUAAGUGUUAGGGGGUUUCCGCCCCUUAGUGCUGCAGCUAACGCAUUAAGCACUCCGCCUGGGGAGUACGACCGCAAGGUUGAAACUCAAAGGAAUUGACGGGGACCCGCACAAGCGGUGGAGCAUGUGGUUUAAUUCGAAGCAACGCGAAGAACCUUACCAAAUCUUGACAUCCUUUGACAACUCUAGAGAUAGAGCCUUCCCCUUCGGGGGACAAAGUGACAGGUGGUGCAUGGUUGUCGUCAGCUCGUGUCGUGAGAUGUUGGGUUAAGUCCCGCAACGAGCGCAACCCUUAAGCUUAGUUGCCAUCAUUAAGUUGGGCACUCUAAGUUGACUGCCGGUGACAAACCGGAGGAAGGUGGGGAUGACGUCAAAUCAUCAUGCCCCUUAUGAUUUGGGCUACACACGUGCUACAAUGGACAAUACAAAGGGCAGCGAAACCGCGAGGUCAAGCAAAUCCCAUAAAGUUGUUCUCAGUUCGGAUUGUAGUCUGCAACUCGACUACAUGAAGCUGGAAUCGCUAGUAAUCGUAGAUCAGCAUGCUACGGUGAAUACGUUCCCGGGUCU